rnacentral:tRNA from 1 species
GGGCGGUUAGCUCAGCCGGUUAGAGCGCACGCCUGAUAAGCGUGAGGUCGGUGGUUCAAGUCCACUACCGCCCACCA